UGAAAGCCUCCAGGGAGUUCGGGCCUUUUGAAUACUCAAGCUGCCAGAACUUCUUGCGUGGGACCUGCAGUAAACUCUUUCCUUCACCACGACCUGCUGUCCGUGACUGGCUUCACUGCGUAUGAGUGAGCAGACCCCCGCCGGGCGGUGACCCCAGCACUCCCGCAGUGGUGAGCGCCCCCCAGCCUCUCCUCCCCAUCCUCCCACCACAGGCUCGGUCCACAGAACAGGCUGAGUAAACGAACACCACCGCAUCAGGCUUCACUGCGCUCCUGGUCUCUGAGUUGGUGCAACCCUGCCCUGCCUUCAGCUCCUGCCCUAUUGCCAGAACAAGCACCACUUAGGUGGGCAAGUUGUUGGUAGGAUCUGAGCCAGAAGAGGAAGGAGUGGCUGCUUUUUCCUCCCAGGUGAAGCGUGUCUCAGCUGUAUCUAAUGAGCAUCCCAGGACACCCAGGCACAGCGAAGGGUGAGCUCUUAGCAGGGCUCCAGGAGACCUCUGGCUGCAAGAUUCCCAGAAGACGUGGGAGGUGUGAGGUCCAGUUCUGGUUUGUCAUCCCUGCCUGCAGCCUCUCCUGACGCCGCUCAGUCCCCUCCUUCUCCCCAACCUUCUGCUCAGAUGGCCUGGAGGGAAGUGAGGUGACCUGCCUUGGUAUGUGGUAUUGACAUUUGAUACCAGCGGACAUUAUAUUGACCAAUGCUGCAGACAUGGGUUCCAUCCCUCCUCCAGGAAGAUCUCACAUGUCUGGGAGCAACACAUCCUUGUGUGCCACAACUACUGAGCCUGGAUCUAGAGCCCACCAGCCGCAACUACUGAACCCCACACCCAACAAAGAGGAGCCGCCACUCACCGCAAGGAGAGAGAGCCCACGGAAAAGCGAAAAAGACCCACCGCAGCCAAAAUAAAUUAAUUAAAAAAUUGUAAUCAUGAUAAUCUCUGUCGCUUUACAGUUUACUGCUGGGGUCCAGCCCCAGCUGAUUCAGGGUAUUCAAAGUGGGGACGGUGUCAGCGAGGAUCAGGAUACAAUAGCUUCAAUUAGAUAUUAAUUAGAGAUGUAAAGAGUAAUAGAAUGAGGAUAGCUCAGUAGGAAAAUUCAGUGGAGAAAAGAGGCUGAGUAGCUUG